AGUGUUUUAGGUUAAGUUAAACCGAAAGCCUUCAAAGCUUUAAAUGAGUAAAUUACUUAAACACUA
rnacentral:tRNA from 1 species